rnacentral:rRNA from 1 species
GGAAUAUUGGACAAUGGGGGCAACCCUGAUCCAGCAAUGCCGCGUGAGUGAAGAAGGCCUUAGGGUUGUAAAGCUCUUUCGGCGGGGAAGAUGAUGACGGUACCCGCCGAAGAAGCCCCGGCUAACUCCGUGCCAGCAGCCGCGGUAAUACGGAGGGGGCUAGCGUUGUUCGGAAUUACUGGGCGUAAAGCGCACGUAGGCGGCUUUGUAAGUUAGAGGUGAAAGCCCGGAGCUCAACUCCGGAAUUGCCUUUAAGACUGCAUCGCUUGAAUCAUGGAGAGGUGAGUGGAAUUCCGAGUGUAGAGGUGAAAUUCGUAGAUAUUCGGAAGAACACCAGUGGCGAAGGCGACUCACUGGACAUGUAUUGACGCUGAGGUGCGAAAGCGUGGGGAGCAAAC